AGCGAACGCUGGCGGCAGGCCUAACACAUGCAAGUCGAACGAUCCUUCGGGAUAGUGGCGGACGGGUGAGUAACACGUGGGAACGUGCCCUUUGGUUCGGAACAACUCAGGGAAACUUGAGCUAAUACCGGAUGUGCCCUUCGGGGAAAGAUUUAUCGCCAUUGGAGCGGCCCGCGUUGGAUUAGGUAGUUGGUGGGGUAAUGGCCCACCAAGCCUACGAUCCAUAGCUGGUCUGAGAGGAUGAUCAGCCACACUGGGACUGAGACACGGCCCAGACUCCUACGGGAGGCAGCAGUGGGGAAUCUUGCGCAAUGGGUGAAAGCCUGACGCAGCCAUGCCGCGUGAAUGAUGAAGGUCUUAGGAUUGUAAAAUUCUUUCACCGGGGACGAUAAUGACGGUACCCGGAGAAGAAGCCCCGGCUAACUUCGUGCCAGCCGCCGCCGUAAUAC
rnacentral:rRNA from 1 species